rnacentral:rRNA from 1 species
GGGGAAUAUUGCACAAUGGGGGAAACCCUGAUGCAGCAACGCCGCGUGAGUGAUGAAGGCCUUCGGGUUGUAAAGCUCUGUCUUCAGGGACGAUAAUGACGGUACCUGAGGAGGAAGCCACGGCUAACUACGUGCCAGCAGCCGCGGUAAUACGUAGGGAGCGAGCGUUGUCCGGAAUUACUGGGGGUAAAGGGAGUGUAGGCGGGAAGACAAGUUGGAUGUGAAAGCUAUCGGCUCAACCGGUAGACUGCAUUCAAAACUGUUUUUCUUGAGUUAAGUAGAGGCAGGCGGAAUUCCUAGUGUAGCGGUGAAAUGCGUAGAUAUUAGGAGGAACACCAGUGGCGAAGGCGGCCUGCUGGGCUUUUACUGACGCUGAGGCUCGAAAGUGUGGGUAGCAAAC